ensembl:snRNA U6 U6 spliceosomal RNA
GUGCUUGCUUUGGCAGCGCAUAUACUAACACUGGAAUGAUACAGAGAAGAUUAGCAUGGUCCCUGUGCAAGAAAAAAAAAAAAAGAGUGGUGCCUGCGGCUCAA